rnacentral:rRNA from 1 species
UGGGGAAUUUUGGGCAAUGGGCGAAAGCCUGACCCAGCAACGCCGCGUGAAGGACGAAGGCCCUCGGGUUGUAAACUGCUGUCACGCUCUAGGAAUCCCGUGUUGUGAAUAGCAGCACGGUUGACUAAGGCGAGAGGAAGUGGCGGCUAACUCUGUGCCAGUAGCCGCGGUAAGACAGAGGCCACGAACGUUGUUCGGAAUCACUGGGCAUAAAGCGCACGUAGGCGGCUAGGUCCGUCCGAUGUGAAAGCCCCCGGCUCAACCGGGGAAUUGCAUCGGAUACAGCCUGGCUUGAGGACGGUUGGGGUGAGUGGAACUCCUGGUGGAGCGGUGAAAUGCGUAGAUAUCAGGAGGAACACCGGUGGCGAAAGCGGCUCACUGGACCGUUACUGACGCUGAGGUGCGAAAGCUAGGGGAGCAAACGGGAUUAGAUACCCCAGUAGUCCCUGAGCGGGCUGGCAAGGCGCAU